rnacentral:rRNA from 1 species
ACAGGAUUAGAUACCCUGGUAGUCCACGCCCGUAAACGAUGAUCACUCGCUGUUGGCGAUACACAGUCAGCGGCUAAGCAAAAGCAUUAAGUGAUCCACCUGGGGAGUACGGCCGCAAGGCUGAAACUCAAAGGAAUUGACGGGGGCCCGCACAAGCGGAGGAACAUGUGGUUUAAUUCGAUGAUACGCGAGGAACCUUACCUGGGCUUAAAUGUAGAGUGCAUGAAGUGGAAACAUUUCUUUCCUUCGGGACUCUUUGCAAGGUGCUGCAUGGUUGUCGUCAGCUCGUGCCGUGAGGUGUCGGGUUAAGUCCCAUAACGAGCGCAACCCUUAUCGUUAGUUGCCAGCGGGUAAUGCCGGGAACUCUAACGAAACUGCCGGUGUAAACCGUGAGGAAGGUGGGGAUGACGUCAAAUCAGCACGGCCCUUAUGUCCAGGGCUACACACGUGUUACAAUGGCCGGUACAGAGGGCAGCUACCUGGAGACAGGAUGCGAAUCUCAAAAGCCGGUCUCAGUUCGGAUCGGAGUCUGCAACUCGACUCCGUGAAGCUGGAUUCGCUAGUAAUCGCGCAUCAGCCAUGGCGCGGUGAAUACGUUCCCGGGCCUUGUACACACCGCCCGUCAAGCCAUGGAAGUUGGGGGUACCUGAAGUCCGUAACCGUAAGGAGCGGCCUAGGGUAAAACUAGUGACUGGGGCUAAGUCGUAACAAGGUAACCAAGGGC